rnacentral:rRNA from 1 species
UGGGGAAUUUUGGACAAUGGGCGAAAGCCUGAUCCAGCAAUGCCGCGUGUGUGAAGAAGGCCUUCGGGUUGUAAAGCACUUUUGUCCGGAAAGAAAUCCUUGGCUCUAAUACAGUCGGGGGAUGACGGUACCGGAAGAAUAAGCACCGGCUAACUACGUGCCAGCAGCCGCGGUAAUACGUAGGGUGCAAGCGUUAAUCGGAAUUACUGGGCGUAAAGCGUGCGCAGGCGGUUUGCUAAGACCGAUGUGAAAUCCCCGGGCUCAACCUGGGAACUGCAUUGGUGACUGGCAGGCUAGAGUAUGGCAGAGGGGGGUAGAAUUCCACGUGUAGCAGUGAAAUGCGUAGAGAUGUGGAGGAAUACCGAUGGCGAAGGCAGCCCCCUGGGCCAAUACUGACGCUCAUGCACGAAAGCGUGGGGGAGCAAACAGGAUUAGAUACCCUGGUAGUCCACGCCCUAAACGAUGUCAACUAGUUGUUGGGGAUUCAUUUCCUUAGUAACGUAGCUAACGCGUGAAGUUGACCGCCUGGGGAGUACGGUCGCAAGAUUAAAACUCAAAUGAAUUG